UACGUAGGGACCAAGCGUUGUUCGGAUUUACUGGGCGUAAAGGGCGCGUAGGCGGCUUAACAAGUCACUUGUGAAAUCUCCGGGCUUAACUCGGAACGGCCAAGUGAAACUGUCAAGCUAGAGUGCAGAAGGGGCAAUCGGAAUUCUUGGUGUAGCGGUGAAAUGCGUAGAUAUCGAGAGGAACACCUGAGGUGAAGACGGGUUGCUGGGCUGACACUGACGCUGAGGCGCGAAAGCCAGGGGAGCAAACGGG
rnacentral:rRNA from 1 species